GACGAACGCUGGCGGCGUGCUUAACACAUGCAAGUCGAACGGAAAGGCCUGCUUUCCCUUGUGGAUUGCGGGUACUCGAGUGGCGAACGGGUGAGUAACACGUGAGUGAUCUGCCCCCAACUUGGGUAUAAGCCUGGGAAACUGGGUCUAAUUCCCGAUAGGACUGCAGGGUGGUGCCUGUGGUGGAAAACGAUUUUCUAGUGGUUGGGGAUGAGCUCGCGGCCUAUCAGCUUGUUGGUGGGGUAAUGGCCUACCAAGGCGGCGACGGGUAGCCGGCCUGGGAGGGGGGACGGCCACAUUGGGACUGAGUUCCGGCCCAGACUCCUACGGGAGGCAGCAGUGGGGACUAUUGCACAAUGGGCGGAAGCCUGAUGCAGCGACGCCGCGUGGGGGAUGACGGCCUUCGGGUUGUAAACUCCUUUCGACCGCGAGGAAGCCACCUGGUUGGAAGGGUGGUGACGGUAGUGGUAGAAGAAGCACCGGCUAACUACGUG
rnacentral:rRNA from 1 species